GGGCCCGCACAAGCGGUGGAGCAUGUGCUUUAAUUCGAUGCAACGCGAAGAACCUUACCUAGGCUUGACAUGGGGGUGAAAUUCUGUAGAAAUAUGGAACCUUCCGCAAGGAACACCCUACACAGGUGCUGCAUGGUUGUCGUCAGCUCGUGUCGUGAGAUGUUAGGUUAAGUCCUGCAACGAGCGCAACCCUCGCCCUUAGUUGCUAACCUCGAUUUAUCGGGAAGAACUCUAAGGGGACUGCCUGGUUUAACCAGGAGGAAGGUGGGGAUGACGUCAAAUCCUCAUGGCCCUUACGCCUAGGGCUAGACACGUGCUACAAUGGUAGAUACAACGGGAAGCAAGCUGGUGACAGCAAGCCAAUCCCUUAAAAUCUAUCUCAGUUCGGAUUGAAGUCUGCAAUUCGACUUCAUGAAGCUGGAAUCGCUAGUAAUCGCGGAUCAGCAUGCCGCGGUGAAUACGUUCCCGGGCCUU
rnacentral:rRNA from 1 species